GGCCCGCGCCCGCCGGGUCCCCGCUGCGGCCGGAGCGGCCUGGCUGUGGGAUCCGUGCGCAGCGAUGGCGGGGCAAUCCCUGCGGCGCUCGGCCUGGGUACCACUGCUCUUGAGGCUGCUGCUGGCGGGGAUCGCUGCCUGCGAAGCCAGUCCGGCGGACGACGGCGCGGGCCCGGGGGGCCGGGGACCCCGGGGACGCGCGCGAGGGGACGCGGGCGCCGACGAGGCAGUGCCGCGCCACGACUCCUCCUACGGCACCUUCGCCGGCGAGUUCUAUGACCUGCGCUACCUGUCAGAGGAGGGAUACCCUUUUCCCACUGCUCCUCCUGUGGACCCAUUUGCCAAAAUCAAGGUGGAAGACUGCGGAAGGACUAAGGGAUGCUUCA
rnacentral:lncRNA from 1 species